CUGCUGCCUCCCGUAGGAGUCUGGUCCGUGUCUCAGUACCAGUGUGGGGGGCCUUCCUCUCAGAACCCCUACGCAUCGUCGCCACGGUGGGCCGUCACCCCGCCGUCUAGCUAAUGCGCCGCAUGCCCAUCCGCCACCGGAUCGCUCCUUUGGCCACCGGAGGAUGCCCUCCGGUGGCGUCACGGGGUAUUAGGCCGCGUUUCCGCGGGUUAUCCCCCUGUGGCGGCCAGGUUGCAUACGUGUUACUCACCCGUGCGCCGGUCGCCGGCGGG
rnacentral:rRNA from 1 species